CAAGACUGUUUUAAUUGCUGUUCUUCCUAAUCAUUAUAAUCUCCAAGUCACAUAGAGGCCUUCAUCAGCUGUAACAUCAUCAUUUAUUUUAAGAAUCUGCCAGUCAGCCCCAUUUCCCCUUUUUUACUAAUUUUCUUUUUGAAAAAGCCUUUUUUUGUUAUAUUAAAUAUGAAGAGAUUUAUGAAGUGGACAUCUCCAAUAAACAGACAUGACAGCUACUGUAUUCACUUCUCACAUUGUCAUAAUUU
rnacentral:lncRNA from 1 species